CUAGGACUCUGUGGGGUGGAGUGGUGUGGCUGCAUCAGCUCAGGUUCCUUGAGAACGUGUCCACAAAACUGGAAUUCCAUGGUGGCCCUGUUGAGGAGCCCCGUCCCUGAGGAAUGACAGAGACCUCUUCAGGGAGCAGCAAAUUCCAGAAAAGCAGGGAAAUUGUUAAGUGGUGGAGCCAAGAUUUGUACGCGGGUCACCUGGUUCCUGAGCCUCUUCUCUCAACUGCUGUACUGCUCAGCCUCUGAUGACAGACAGAAAGAACAUGAGGCCUCAGGGAGUUCUGAAGGUAUCCUAACAUCUUAACAGUCUCUUUGCUGGAAAGAAAUCUUCAGUGGCUCCCAUUACCUACGGAUCCAGCCUGGCUUUUUAGUCCAGCAUUCAAGACCUGUCAAGCUCUUCUGCAUCCUCUCGUAUGCAUGUGAUAGACAGGCACUCCACCUAGCGAAGUACAACCAUCCCAAACUUAUUCCUAUUACUUUUCUUCCAUUCAUUCGUUCAUACAAUCAAUCAGUCAUCAUUGAGGAUUUAUUAGACGAUAGGUUCUGGAGACAAAAAGGUAGAUAAAUACGACGCAGUCUUUGCUUUUGAGGACUGUAUCCCAGAUACAUCUGACUGGUUGUUCCUGCUGAAACAUUUUUCCACCUCCAUGCUUUUGCAUACACUACUUUCUCCACCUGGAAGACCCUCUCUGCAUUUCUGAACAUGCACUUUUAUUAACUGUCCACAGCUGCAGUGAGGCCUUCUUCAUGAAGCCUCUCCCAGUUCUCCGCCUCACCCCACCAAGCUGGAACUGAUCGCAGCCUCCAAACUCCCACAGCAAUCCUUUGCCUCCUCUU
rnacentral:lncRNA from 1 species